CUCAUCUCAUCCUCAAACACCUUCCCAGACACACCCGCGAUCACGUUUGGCCAGAUACCUGGGCACCCCGUGCGUGUCCUGUCAAGUUGACACGUACAGUUAACCAUCACAAACGGUUUGCUGUUUGGGGCUGAUGUGAACAUUUGUGCACAAGCCUUCGUGGAGACACAUUUCAGUUCUGCGAGUCUGACCACUGGGUCGUGGGAUCCUGUUAAAUUCUCUUCAGUCGGGGUAAAUCUUCCAGUCUACCGAUCUGUUAAACCUGUUCUCAGACAUUCUUGUGACGAGGACACUUCACCUCCCGUGGACGGAAGCCUCCUCACGGUUCUCCUGAGAUCCCGUCCAUGCCUAGUCUGUCAUCACGGAGGUGCCCUUGCUUUUCAGGGUCACACCUGGAUCCCGACAGCGCAAGCAAAGCUGAUGAAAGGUCUGCC